rnacentral:rRNA from 1 species
GUGCCAGCCGCCGCGGUAAUACGGAGGGUGCAAGCGUUAUCCGGAUUUAUUGGGUUUAAAGGGUCCGUAGGCGGAUGCGUAAGUCAGUGGUGAAAUCUCACAGCUCAACUGUGAAACUGCCAUUGAUACUGCGUGUCUUGAGUGAGGUUGAAGUAGCUGGAAUAAGUAGUGUAGCGGUGAAAUGCAUAGAUAUUACUUAGAACACCAAUUGCGAAGGCAGGUUACUAAGUCUCAACUGACGCUGAUGGACGAAAGCGUGGGGAGCGAACAGGAUUAGAUACCCUGGUAGUCCACGCUGUAAACGAUGCUAACUCGUUUUUGGGGAUUUAUCUUCAGAGACUAAGCGAAAGUGAUAAGUUAGCCACCUGGGGAGUACGAACGCAAGUUUGAAACUCAAGGGAAUUGACGGGGGCCCGCACAAGCGGUGGAUUAUGUGGUUUAAUUCGAUGAUACGCGAGGAACCUUACCAAGGCUUAAAUGGGAAUUGAUCGGUUUAGAAAUAGACCUUCCUUCGGGCAAUUUUCAAGGUGCUGCAUGGUUGUCGUCAGCUCGUGCCGUGAGGUGUU